UACGGAGGGUGGCAAGCGUUAAUCGGAAUUACUGGCGUAAAGGCGCAACGUAGGUGGUUUACUAAGCCAGCUGUGAAAUCCCCGGGCUCAACCUGGGACACGUGCAGUUGGAACUGGUAAGCGUAGAGUAUGGUAGAGGGGUGUGGAAUUCCAGGGUGUAGCGGUGAAAUGCGUAGAUAUCUGGAGGAACAUCAGUGGCGAAGGCGACACCCUGGACUAAGUACUGACACUGAGGUGCGAAA
rnacentral:rRNA from 1 species